rnacentral:lncRNA from 1 species
GGAACUUGAUUUCUUCAAAGGGGUGACCUUUUCCUUGGUUGAUUACUCAAAUCACCAUGGGGGAGAGAGAUGGGUGGAGGAGCGCACGAGAGAAGAAAGGAGGUGUCGGUGGUGAAGGGGUAAGAAUGGAUUAGUUUUACCACUCUAUAUUCACUGGAGGGGUACAAAGGUAACUCCCAGAGUCAACCGUCCAGACCAGUUUCCACUAGGAAACAAGAGAAAGGUUGAUUUUGAGAGAUUUUGUUCCUACACUUUCUCACAAGAUUGGAUAUAAGAUUUGAGAUAGAUAUUGAUCCAAAGUUGACAUGUGUUAGAAGAAUUUUUGAUAAUCCAAAUAAAUUAUCACUUAUUGAUUCUUCCAAGAGAUGUGAGAGAUAAAUAAAGAUUUAUGGACUUGAGAAAAUCUCACCACUUGUGACUUGCCA